rnacentral:ncRNA from 1 species
CCAAGGAGUCUAACAUGUGUGCAAGUGUUAGGGUGUGGAAACCCCAGCGCGAAAUGAAAGUGAAGGGCAGCGCAAGUUGUCUGAGGUAGGAAACGUUGCGGGCUUCGGUCUGCGGCGUGGCACUAUCGACCGAUCAUGAGCCUUCGUGGUGAAAGAUUUGAGUUUGAGCACAUAUGUUGGUACCCGAAAGAUGGUGAACUAUGCCUGAGUAGGGUGAAGCCAGGGGAAACUCUGGUGGAAGCUCGUAGCGAUUCUGACGUGCAAAUCGAUCGUCAAACUUGGGUAUAGGGGCGAAAGACUAAUCGAACCAUCUAGUAGCUGGUUCCCUCCGAAAUUUCCCUCAGGAUAGCAGCAACUUUUUUACGAUAGUUUUAUGAGGUAAAGCGAAUGAUUAGAGGAUUCGGGGAAGAAACUUUCUCGACCUAUUCUCAAAUUUUAACAAAUAACGUGCUGGGUGCAACCUAAGGCAGACUCCAGCAAGGAGCAAGUAGCUAUUGAAGACAACUUCAUCAUAGAGUCAGUAAGACGAGCGCUGAGGGAGUGCACACAUGGCAAAUUUGCAGGACCUGAUUGAUUGGACAAUGGAUUCUACCGCAAAUAUUAAGACGAACUGGUGUCGAUCCUGG